ensembl:snRNA U6 U6 spliceosomal RNA
GUGCUCACCUUAGCAUCACAUAUGUGAAAAAUGGAAUGAUACGGAGAGGAUUAGCAUAGGCCCUGCACAAGGAUGACACGCAAAUUCGCAAAGUGUCCCAUAUUUUU